GCGUAAUGGGCAGAAAACAGCCACCUUCUGGCUCCAAGCACAAAAUAGCUUCCUAAAUCAGCAGCGGUUUUUCCCCUCAUUUACUUUUGGAAGCCUGCUGACUUCUGAAUUGCUCAGCCCGCUGUAAACCAGGUAUGAAAUGCAAACGCCUCCCCUGCCCGCAGCACGGCCAAACCCUGCGGUGCGCUACCACCAGCGUGGUGGUGCCCUGCGCCGGGACACCGGGCUGAGGUGCGGCCAGGGGCUGCGCCAGGCACUGCCGGGGCUCAGGGGACGUUCUGCUCCUCGCAAUGUCACGGUGUGCACACCUGGGCUGGGGCUGCGGACCCAGCACAUCCCCGCAGCCAUGCUCAGAGCUGCAGAGGCUGCGGGCAGCCCAGCUCCAGGUGCAUCGGCCCCGGUGCCAAACGGGAGCACAAAGGCAGUUUAAGUUUUGCUUCCCCCUCCCAAAAGCAGUUUACAUUUUGUUUCCUCCACUUGCUCCUUCUGCAGGCGCUGGCGGGGAGGACGGAGCUGAGGCUGCAGCAGCGCGUGGGCUGAACGGGAGCCAGAAAUGCUAUGUUAUUGCAAGAAAAAGCAAACGUGGGAGGUUUGCAAACGUGGUCUUUGGAGGACGGCAGAUGCUGAUUAAUUUGAACAAGCAGACAAAGACCCUGACAUCAAUUAAAUAGUGCUGAUGAGGUGAGGUCAAUAGUAAUUAUAACCUGCUCAUAUCUUCAUGCACUACAGACUUGUUUAAUCUUUUUAUUGAAAAGCUUUUUACUGAAAUAAUGUGGCAUGAUAAUUUCCUACAGCGUACUGUUUCUAAUUAAGUAGUUGGAAAUGCAGUGCAUUGCACUUAAUCACCUCUGCUUCAUUUAAGUCCUCGCUAAAGAAAUGCCUUUAGUUUUGUUUUUAAUUAUUUUUCGGCCGCAGCCUUCAGGGUGGCGCUGCGGACGGAGGGCGUGCUGGCGGCAGGAGGCCUCUGCCCGGCCCCGCGGCGUGCCUGCCAUGCCCGGCCGUCGCUGACCGCAGCUGCGGGGCGGCCGUGCCCUGCAGUCUGAGAGAGAAACCCGUUUCUGCGUAUUAAUGCAUCUGCCUGACGCUCGCUGCGCACCGGGUUAGUGCUAAAUGCUGGAAGCACCACGGCAUUUAAUUGAUUACUGCCCAAACGUGCCCGCCUGUGUCGGUGUGCCUGCACGGUGACUUCCCAGGCGUGUUCUCUGUGACCCCACGGGCCGUGCCCCAUCCCCGGGCUGCCCGUGGGGCUGGCGGGCGCCCUGCAGCCAGCACACGCCUGCGUCUUCACGUCCCCCCGUGUCCCCCAGGUGCCUCAGGGAGGUCACCUCCGCCACUGCGGCAGCGAGAGGGCCCCGCCGGCCCCGUGGGUGGCUGGUGGCGGCAGGGGCAGGGUGGGCCGCAGGCACUGGCCCCACCAGGCCGUGCAGGCCCGGGCCGUGCCUCCGCCCAGGCACAGCGGCGAUGGAGGGAGCGGGGCGGCGAGGCGAGGCACCUCGCAGAGGGAGCCCUGGCUUCCACCCCGCGGCCUUCCUGCGCCGCCUCGGUGCUUCCUUAGGAGCGGCCUGGGCUGAGGCAGUGCCCAGGUCAGCUUCGAGCCACGCAGACCCCGUUUAGGGGCGCUGAGCCAACUGUGACGGAUCACAUUUUUCCCCUUUUUCUGUGCCCUGCAGGGGCUGCGUGCCGCUCAGUGACACCAGGGAGCUGCGGUCCCCUGCCUCGGGCUGACGCUGGCAGCCUUCGCCAGGUCCUUGCUACGGAGGGAAAUAGCUUGUUCCCCUUCCUAACAUGGAAUUCCAUUUGUUUACCAAAACCAUAAAUAAAUAAAAAUGAGAGCGAUGUCCUUAAGCA
ensembl:lncRNA